AUGUUGAUGCUGGAACCAGUGUCCCUUGAUGCUGGAACCGGACGCGCCCUGGGCAGGCAACACAUUUUUUUGCUGGAACCAGCCUUUAUUUUUGCUGGAACCGUCUUUUUUUUGCUACUAUGGGCACUGGACUCCUUUUUCAGUGAGAUUGUUUUGCUAGAACUAGCAUUUAUUUUUUGCUGGAACCGGCUAAUUCAUUUGCUACAAUUGGCUUAUCUGUUUUUGUUGCUGAGAAUUUUGCUGGAACCAUCAUUAAGUUUUGUUGGAACCGGCAAAUCUAUUUGCUUCAACCGAGUACCGGAGGUUUUUGUUGCUUUCGAUAUUUGCUGGAAAUAG
rnacentral:rRNA from 1 species